UACAGGUGUGAGCCACUGCACCCAGCAAACUCUCCUGUUAUUCUAAUCAUGUACAGGUAGUUCCUUUUGGUUUUGUAAGUAAAAAAGCAUUAUCAUCUGCAAGUAUUGACAGCUUUUUAUCAACUUAAAAAGUUUUUAUGCACCUUUUUAUUUUUUCUGGUUUUAUUGCCCUAGCAAAACUCUUCAAUACAUUGUUGCCUAAAUGUGGCAAUAGAAUAAUUUUUUUUUUCCAUUUCUAACUUGGAAGAGGAUUCUUCCAACAAUUUUUCAUUUAGGGAAUGCACCACACUCUCGAUGUGCGUACAGAGAAGAUGGCUGGCUGGCUGGAUCCAGGGUUUUAAUGUUUCCAGAUGAGGAAGAGGAGCUUUAGGAAAGGAUAUAAAUCUACUCCCAAAGUUGUACACAGAGAACGGUGGAGUUGGGAUCGAACUUGCAUCUCUGCGGACAACCUCAUUGUUAGAAAAAAAGCAAGUGAAAAUAUUCUGUUUUCAGGAUAUUCUCUGAAAUUCUGUUCCUUUCCCACGUGCCCAGCUUUUGCCUGCACUGAAAUUAUUAAACUGACAAGGGGGGCAGGUGGGUAGAAUGCAGAUACUAUUGCUUUCAGAGAAUCCAGCUCCAUUGGGCAAUCCUUUCUUACUGUCUC
rnacentral:lncRNA from 1 species